rnacentral:rRNA from 1 species
CCUACGGGAGGCUGCAGUGGGGAAUAUUGGACAAUGGGGGCAACCCUGAUCCAGCCAUGCCGCGUGUGUGAAGAAGGCCCUCGGGUUGUAAAGCACUUUCAGUGAGGAAGAACGCCUGGUGGUUAAUACCCAUCAGGAAAGACAUCACUCACAGAAGAAGCACCGGCUAACUCCGUGCCAGCAGCCGCGGUAAUACGGAGGGUGCGAGCGUUAAUCGGAAUUACUGGGCGUAAAGCGCGCGUAGGUGGCUUGAUAAGCCGGUUGUGAAAGCCCCGGGCUCAACCUGGGAACGGCAUCCGGAACUGUCAAGCUAGAGUGCAGGAGAGGCAGGUAGAAUUCCGGUGUAGCGGUGAAAUGCGUAGAGAUCGGGAGGAAUACCAGUGGCGAAGGCGGCCUUCUGGACUGACACUGACACUGAGGUGCGAAAGCGUGGGUAGCAAACAGGAUUAGAUACCCUUGUAGUC